UACGUAGGGUGCGAGCGUUGUCCGGAUUUAUUGGGCGUAAAGGGCUCGUAGGCGGCGUGUCGCGUCGGGAGUGAAAGCCCGUUGCUUAACGCGGGUUGGCUUUCGGUACGGGCAUGCUGGAGUGCGGCAGGGGAGACUGGAAUUCCUGGUGUAGCGGUGGAAUGCGCAGAUAUCAGGAGGAACACCGGUGGCGAAGGCGGGUCUCUGGGCCGUUACUGACGCUGGAGGAGCGAAAGCGUGGGGAGCGAACAGG
rnacentral:rRNA from 1 species